UACGUAGGGUGCAAGCGUUAAUCGGAAUUACUGGGCGUAAAGCGUGCGCAGGCGGUGAUGUGAGACAGUUGUGAAAUCCCCGGGCUCAACCCGGGAACUGCGUCCGAUACUGGCAGGCUUGAAUCCGGGAGAGGGAUGUGGAAUUCCAGGUGUAGCGGUGAAAUGCGUAGAUAUCUGGAGGAACACCGGUGGCGAAGGCGGCAUCCUGGACCGGCAUUGACGCUGAGGCGCGAAAGCCAGGGGAGCAAACGGG
rnacentral:rRNA from 1 species